UGCAAUGAGACAACUCUCCAUCAAAACAUCAGAUUAGAUGCAGUUCCUUCAGUGGUUUCAGUAGGAUAAUUUUUGUAAAACAAAGUUGACGGACACUAUUGAAGAUGGACGCUAGUGAAUGCAGUAGCUUACGUUGCCCAUUUAGCCAGGUGAGCUAAAUAACUUAUUUUAGAAUAAUUUUUCUGCAUCAAAAAGGGCCACAAUUCAUGACCGAGAGAUAUUUGUUUUGUGAAUUCACAAAAAUAACCAGUGGUCCUUCUUUCUGACUUUGUUUUAAUGAUAAACAAAUAUUCUGGACUGGUACCAUAGGACACGAUAUAUGCCACACAAAAAGAAGAACGUCUCUAUCUUUCACAAAACUUGCAAAUUUAUUCUUUGGUUUUUGUUGUGUAUGUUGAAUACUCUGAACUUAUAACCAAACAUGUAAGUUAUAGAGGGUAUUAAAUUCGAGAAGUGUACAUCGUUGAUUCACGAAACAGCAAUGAAUAUUCAUGGUCGGGUUGUUGUCUUUUAUGUAACAUUCCCAAUUUCCAUUCUCAAUUGUAUGCAUGUUAUAAGUGAAUAAAAUUGAUGAAUUGUGUUGAAUUUUAAAGAUUCGACCUUAAUGCGAAAAGUGCUUUAUUUGGCUUUUGUUGAUUGUUGUAAUAUUAACAUCUGCAUAUCUUUUACUAUUUGAGAAGAUUAAUUGUUUGAUUUAUAGUGUUUAAGGUUUAACACUUUCACUAAAAUUAAUUUGGCUCGUUUAAUUUUCAUAAAAUUUUGUCAAAGUAUUUACUUUGACCCUUUUACAAAAGUAUAAAAAUUUCAAAAAUUUUGAACCAACCGUUUUGUCAGAAAUAUUACACUGGUUAUAUGGCCACAGACCACAAUUAAUUCCUCUAUCAGUUCUUUAUAACCUUUUGCAUCAUUAAAAAAAUUGCACCAUGCACUUUUGUCAAUUUUUUUGUGUGUGUAAUGUAUAGUCCUAGUCCAAAUAUAUAUCCAAAAUUCAGAAAGAUUGACGCAAUCACUUUUACAAAUUUAGCCAAUACACAUCCAUACCCCUAUUGACAAGUCAAGAGAUGUUCCGAAAACUGUAAAUAUUACCCUUUUGCACUUGGCCUAAUCACUCAUUCCAAAUCAAAAUCAGUUAAAACACAACAUCCAAAAAUUCAUUUCACCUCUCUUCAUUUAUUUCCACCAAAAAAAAUCUAAGAAAUGAGUGAGGAAGGGAAAGAAAAAAAAUAAGGAAAAUACACUCUAAUUAAAAGGAACUAUAUUCGGACAACGAAAAGCGGGGUCAUUAAUUGUGGUCUUGGGACAGCAGUUUGACAAACACCAAUUUUGAUCAUUGAGAAGCUUAAUAUUCCUUUCAUAACACAACGUAAUUAAAACGUUUAGCUGACUUUACAGAGUUAUCUCCCUGUAGUGUUAGGUACCACCUUAAGGUCAGUAAAUUGGCUAUGCCGCAGAUUAUUAAAAAAUAUGUGCUUAUAACCUAGCUUAGCUCGUUGAACUAAAACUAAAACAAUCAGUUUGAAGAUUUUUGGUUGACGUUCAUUUAUCUACAGUUGUUUGCAAUAUGUUACUGAAAUCUGUGACAUAGUCAAUUUACUUUUACUUGACCUUAUAGGUCUCUUAGCUAUGUCAUGCCUUCAAUCUAAAAAGGUUUUGAUUUGUUAUAACAGUGCAGAAUACCAGGAAUCAAUACAAAUAUCAGAUAGCAAAACAGACCAAUGAUGAACAACGACUCCUCCGGAAAAAAG
rnacentral:lncRNA from 1 species